AUUAGGGUUUGAUUUAUGGCUCAGGACGAACGCUAGCGGCAUGCUUAACACAUGCAAGUCGAGGGGUAACAGAGGUAGCUUGCUACUUGCUGACGACCGGCGCACGGGUGCGUAACGCGUAUACAAUCUGCCUUAUACAGAGGGAUAGCCUUUAGAAAUGAAGAUUAAUACCUCAUGGUCUAUUAAUAUAGCAUUAUAUAAAUAGUAAAGCUUCGGCGGUAUAAGAUGAGUAUGCGUCCUAUUAGUUAGUUGGUAAGGUAACGGCUUACCAAGACUACGAUAGGUAGGGGCCCUGAGAGGGGGAUCCCCCACACUGGUACUGAGACACGGACCAGACUCCUACGGGAGGCAGCAGUGAGGAAUAUUGGACAAUGGAGGAAACUCUGAUCCAGCCAUGCCGCGUGCAGGAAGACGGCCCUAUGGGUUGUAAACUGCUUUUAUAUAGGAAGAAACCUUUUCACGUGUGAGAAGCUGACGGUACUAUAAGAAUAAGGACCGGCUAACUCCGUGC
rnacentral:rRNA from 1 species